rnacentral:lncRNA from 1 species
GUCUGUUAAAUAAAAUAUCACAUUGGACCCCUAUAUUGAUGCCAUUUUGCAGAUUGAGACAAGAUGUGAACAGUAGAAUCUCCCAGCUAUACUUAGGAGUCAAAGAAUAUAUUGAAACAAAAAACCCAGGCAGAGGCAAAACAGAUGAGGACUAACUAGUUCCUGUGCUUUGGAAAAGAUGCAAUUGACAAGUAAACCAGGAAGUAAGAGUAACUGGACCACUGCCCCUACCUCAUAGUAGUUGGAAAGGGAAAAAUUGUACUUACCAUAUAGAGAAAAAUUUGAAAUCUUGGUAGCUUAAGUGAUCAUUUCACUCAGUAAUUCGAGUGCCUGUUGAGAUGUGUGUACAAGCUCAGACAGUCUUCCUGGGCUGCGCCAGACUACUAAAAAGCCGAUGAAGCACAUUCUUUAUUCUGCUACAAAACAAAUGUGAAAAUGUCUUGAUGAAAGCUCAGCUGCUUUGCAAAUGUACAAUGAAGGCAAAUUUAACUGUCUGGGAUUGAACGAAGCCACAGUGAAAUGAUGAGAGUGGUUGCAGGAUUUUAGGAAUUUUUGUAUUUGGAUAAAUGAGAAGAUCAACCUGUCCUGUGUUCCCCGCGUGGCUACUGUGGGCUUUGAAGAAGUUAAUGUAGAGAAAGCCUGCUCUUAUGGUGUCUCGUUUUGUUAUCAAUGAAGACUGCAUCUGGACUAGGGAUGGAGGCAGGUGUCCACUUACCUUUUCAGCUCUAGGACCCUUUCUGGUACAGAAACAAAACAUAUUGCCUCAAGUUUCCAGGAGUUCACAUAUGUAUUAAUUCUGAUGAAUUAAAGAACAUAAUUUUUGGGGUGUCCUCCAGCCCUUCUGAACUUUAUGAUUGGAAAAAUGAUUUAUAGUAGCUCAAAACUUGAACGGAAACAAAAGAUUGCUCUGCUGUGUUAUAAACAAGAUUGUGUAAGCAGUCUAAUAAAAUGGGAAAUAAAUUGGGAUCAGCUAUUCCUCUGUAUCAGAUGGUGACUUCGUGUAGGAAUACUCUGCUGACCCUGGAGAAUGUUAUGUACACAGAGAUGGAUCAGUUCCCAAGGGAACCCAGGCCAGCAAUGAGAGUGGUGGCCUCAAAACCAUGGUACUCCUGCACAUGUUUGGCUGAGCUUCAGAUUGUUUUGUGAGUGUGCUGGCAGUGCAAGGGAGGAUGAUGGAGUUAUGAAAUGUAGAAUAUAUGGCCCAGGCCCAAUGGGGCAGCUGGGGUUAACUUUGGCUCAGCAGCUUGGCUCUGCCUUUAAUAUAUUGUCUUUCCUUAACUGCCUGGACUCAGCAUGUUGGGGGGAUGAUGCAAGGCAUUGUCCCAUUGCAUUGCAAAACUAUGGUGUAGACUCAAAAGAGCUCCUCUGACUAAACCUAGAACCUGUAACUCAUGUGAAGCUUCCUUGUCACCAGGCAUAUCAGCAUUUUCAGAAGAAAGAUUUCCAUUUUAGAGAAUCAAAGUGGCCAUUCACCACUGCUGAUUACUUUUAUCUUGUCUGUCAUACUUUCCUAGACUCCUGUCACACCAUUGCUAGGUUCUAGUGUCAACCACCUCAAAAUGGCACCUAUUAAUUUUUCCUGGUUAUAUAUACUGAGUGCCAGUACAAGUAUGAAGUGCUCUUAUAUCCUACCAUAUUGCCAUAAAAAAGUGUUGGUUUUAUGUUUCCAUUUGUAUUUUCCUGAUGACAAAGGUUGUUAGGUAUCCAUUAAAUAGUUAUUGAUUA